UACGUAGGUGACAAGCGUUGUCCGGAUUUAUUGGGCGUAAAGAGCUCGUAGGCGGUUUGUCGCGUCUGCCGUGAAAGUCCGGGGCUCAACUCCGGAUCUGCGGUGGGUACGGGCAGACUAGAGUGAUGUAGGGGAGACUGGAAGUUCCUGGUGUAGCGGUGAAAUGCGCAGAUAUCAGGAGGAACACCGAUGGCGAAGGCAGGUCUCUGGGCAUUAACUGACGCUGAGGAGCGAAAGCAUGGGGAGCGAA
rnacentral:rRNA from 1 species